CCACUCUGGUUUCCCUUCAAAACGCAUAAAUCUUUCGCCUUUUACUAAAGAUUUCCGUGGAGGGGAACACUCAAAUGAGUCUAUCUCAAUUUUUUAACAACUCUGCUUUGGCAGAGUU